rnacentral:rRNA from 1 species
GAAAGAGCCUAAACUGGCUAUAUGUAAUAACCCUUAUGUGUUGUAUGGUCAGGGUCGAGGGAGUUGCGAGGAGUGAGAUAAGGCUUGCUUAAAAAAACUGUUAUUUCUAGCUGAAUAAGCAGGAAAGCUUGACUAUAAAGGGUGAUAGUCCCGUAAGCGAAAGGAAUAAAAGUUUUUUCUGUAAUUUCCCGAGUAAUGCCGGUCACGUGGAAACCGGCAUGAAUUAAGGAGGACCACCUCCUAAGGCUAAAUACUUUUGGUAACCGAUAGUGAACAAGUAGCGUGAGUGAACGAUGAAAAGAACCCCUUUUAGGGGAGUGAAAUAGAACCUGAAACCAUGUACUUACAAGCGGUGGAAGCACAAUAUUAAUUGAAUUUAUUUCUUUUAAUUCGUGUAACCGCGUGCCUUUUGUAUAAUGAACCGGCGAGUUGUUGUUUGUUGCAGGUUAAGCCUAUAAUGGGUGAAGCCAAAGCGAAAGCGAGUGCUAACUGCGCGAAUAAAUGUAGCAGAUAGCAGACCCGAAACCGAGUGAUCUACCCUUGGUCAGGAUGAAGUUCCGGUAAAACGGAAUGGAGGUCCGAACGCAUUUACGUUGAAAAGUGAUGCGAUGAACUGAGGGGAGGAGUAAAAGUCUAAUCAAACUCGGAGAUAGCUGGUUCUCCCCGAAAUAGCUUUAGGGCUAGCCUUAUGCAACCGUGUAGUAGGGGUAGAGAUACUGAUUGAGUAUUGGGGCCCACCAGGCUACCGAGCACAAUCAAACUCCGAAUACUACUGCAUUUGACAUAGGAGUCAGACUAUGGGGGAUAAGCUCCGUAGUCGAGAGGGAAACAGCCCAGACCAUUAGUUAAGGUCCCUAAAAUGAGCUAAGUGAAAAAGGAAGUGAAAGUGCUAAGACAGCUAGGAUGUUGGCUUAGAGGCAGCAAUCAUUUAAAAAGUGCGUAAUAGCUUACUAGCCGAGUACUUUUGUGCCGAAAAUUAGCGGGACUAAAGCUCAUUACCGAAACUAUGGAUCCUAAUCUUUUAGGAUGGUAGGGGAGCGUUCUAUGAUAGGUUGAAGCCUUACAAAAAUGAGAGGUGGACGAAAUAGAAGUGAGAAUGCC